rnacentral:lncRNA from 1 species
UCUGCAUCGUCCUCAUCGCCGGCGUCGGAGGUCAAGCUCCGUCGUCACCACCAACCACCACACCAGCACCACCCACCACAACAACUCCCCCGCCAGCAGCCACUCCUCCUCCUGUCUCAGCUCCUCCACCAGUCACAACUUCUCCUCCUCCAGCCACCACCGCUCCUCCUCCUGCUACUCCUCCUCCAGUCGCUUCUCCUCCUCCGGCCACUCCUCCUCCAGUGGCAACUCCUCCUCCAGCAACUCCCCCUCCCGUCGCAUCUCCUCCUCCAGCAACUCCUCCACCCGUCGCAUCUCCUCCUCCAGCAACGCCUCCUCCAGCUCCUCUUGCAUCUCCUCCCGCUCAGGUUCCAGCUCUUGCUCCUACGACGCCAGACGCUCCCUCUACAUCUCCGUCGUCUAGCCCGCCUCUCCCGGCCACUGAUGGCCCUGGACCGAGCGCCGAAGGGCCAGGACCUUCCACAGAUUCGAAUGACCAGGUCCGUAAUUUCUUCUCAUUUGACUUGGAUCUUGUACAAUGUGUUUCAGAUCUGAGAUGGUUUUGACUUUGAAAAAUGAGGUGAUCACUGUCCAUGAUUAGAUCUAAAACUAGUCUUGUCUCUCGAAAAUUAUGAUUAGCGCAAUUUAGCAGAAGAAUCCUAGUAUGUUAUAAAGUGAGCAGUUGCAAGCGCAAUUUAGGAAGAUAUGUUAAUCUGCGCCCGUAUCGUAUUUGCCGAUUUUCGGACAGUGCUACUGCAUCUGUCUCGAGAUCUUCGAACUCGAGCCGUGGGCGCGUGGGGUGCCGGAGUCACGUUAGCUUUGUCAGUAUGAACGUGAACAAUAAAUAACUUCCACGUGUUGAUCUUAAAAGCAGAUCUUGCUUUUGACAAAAAAGUAGAUCUAGAUUUACUUUAGUCUUUAGUCAAUAAAAUAAGUCCGAAAGCAUGCAUGAAUGACGGAGUUCUUUAAAGUCUGCAGUAUUACUUUAUUACUAUAUUUUAGAAACUUUUCAAACGAUAACCCGGAUUAAUAAAUGCUAUUAAAACUUCUAUUUUAAAUUAAUUAUGUUGGAAUUAUAACAUCAGAUUACAAAGAUGCUUCUGUAACCAAUAAAAAUGAAAUGCUGAUCCAAUCUCUUAUGUAUUG